CGCAGAGGGAAGGGGUGGCCUCCAGGCGCCUGCACCCCAAGCGUCACUGGCCUCAAUCAGGGGCCGGGCCGGGGUCUCCAAAGUCGCCACAGAACAGGCGCGGGAGCGCCCAGAGGCCACGGUCUCGGGAAAAGUCUCCGCUUCGGCUCCAGUGGGCUGCGACCCGCAAGGUUGCACAGGAAGGAAAUAAAAGAUUUCGGCUGAGAUUACACUCGAAAACACCAGGGAGCCCGGCUUCCACGCGCGGCAUUACUCUUCUGCCCCGAAAACCAGGAGAUUCAAAAGGAAAAGAAGUCCGGCUGUCGGCGGUCGUCAGAGGCUGGGAAGCAGUGCUGCUCACUGUCACCGACUCCUGGCUGGGAGCCCAGGGGCAAGGAGUCUCGUCUGGUGCCUUCUGCAGCCGCAUCAAGGUGGCCGACUGGCAGCUCCAGAGCCUUCAGAACCUUCCAGAGACCACAGAACUUGACCAGGGUGCAGCAUGGUGGAUGGGGGCCCAGAGCAACCCAAGGACAGGAGGCCUCACAGGAGAACGGCUGCAGGCAGAGCCGCGCAGCAGGACUCAGACCUGACUGGGAGGCGAUGGCUUGCACAGUCCUCCUGCCCCCUGCUGGCCAUCCUGUCACUCGCCCCACGGCCCCCUGGAGGCCAGACGCCUGGAUGCUGGAGCCUGCAACGGAGGGCCUAGAAGGAGGCCAGUGUCGGCACCACACGUGGAAGAUUCUGGAAACUCAACCCCUUGCUGGCCUCACAACAUACAGAGCCCCACACAGCCACCCUCCUUGUUGGCAGUCACCGCGGACCCUGAGGACAGCAGAGGCAGAUGGCCUGGGGGCUCCCGGCCUGCUCUGAGCUGGGGCCUUCCCUGACCUCUCUCACCUCGUGGCCCUCACCUGGACCAGUCAGCAGGCCCUGCUGCAAGACCGGCAAGAGUGCCUGGCCUAGUGCCUCCAGGGCAGGUCCUGAGAGCGGUGCUGGCCUGCCACUGGGGGGCGCUCGCUGGCUGGCAGCCCCACGGCCGCAUCACCGGGAAGCACCUGGAGA
rnacentral:lncRNA from 1 species